UGCAGGCUUAAUGUUUUCACAAAUCAACAAAUGACUUGUAAAACUAAUUUUGGAGUUUUUCAAUACCAUUUUGCAAAAGGAAAUGAAAUUCAACAUCAAUUGUUACUUAUUACAAUUAUUACUAUUGACUGAAGCAACUAAUUAAAUGCAGGCUUUUUGGUGUGUGGAUACUUUUUCAGUGAAGGGUCCUGAUUGGAGCUAUUCCGUAUUCGGCAAUGUAUUUCCAAAGACCAGUACAUGCACAUUUCUUUUGGAAAUACUGUCGUUAUAUCCAUUGUGACGGCCCUAAUCCUAUCCCGCUGAACGCUGUCGAGUCCUGGUUCGCUACAUGCUGAUGCAGGUGCUGCUGCUGCAAAAUUUCUACUUCACGAAAUUUGGCACGUUUCAUAGCUUGCCUUAUUCGAUCCCGUUCCCGUUGGACACGUAUUUCUUCGUCACUCCGGUUGGCACGGCGCUUAGCCUGUCUCACUCGGGCGCGUUCCCGUUCGCGUUCUCUUUGGUCUACGGUCAUUUUAGCACGUCGUUUCGCGGUCGAUAAUCGUUGUCGUUCACGAUGCGAGCGAGCCUCCGUA